rnacentral:rRNA from 1 species
UACGGAGGGUGCGAGCGUCAAUCGGAAUUACUGGGCGUAAAGCGCACGCAGGCGGUUUGUUAAGCUAGAUGUGAAAGCCCCGGGCUCAACCUGGGAUGGUCAUUUAGAACUGGCAGACUAGAGUCUUGGAGAGGGGAGUGGAAUUCCAGGUGUAGCGGUGAAAUGCGUAGAUAUCUGGAGGAACAUCAGUGGCGAAGGCGACUCCCUGGCCAAAGACUGACGCUCAUGUGCGAAAGUGUGGGUAGCGAACGGG